rnacentral:rRNA from 1 species
AACGAACGCUGGCGGCAUGCCUAACACAUGCAAGUCGAACGAGACCUUCGGGUCUAGUGGCGCACGGGUGCGUAACGCGUGGGAACCUGCCCUUAGGUUCGGAAUAACUCCCCGAAAGGGGUGCUAAUACCGGAUAAUGUCUUCGGACCAAAGAUUUAUCGCCUUUGGAUGGGCCCGCGUUGGAUUAGCUAGUUGGUAGGGUAAAAGCCUACCAAGGCGACGAUCCAUAGCUGGUCUGAGAGGAUGAUCAGCCACACUGGGACUGAGACACGGCCCAGACUCCUACGGGAGGCAGCAGUGGGGAAUAUUGGACAAUGGGCGAAAGCCUGACCCAGCAAUGCCGCGUGAGUGAUGAAGGCCUUAGGGUUGUAAAGCUCUUUUACCCGGGAUGAUAAUGACAGCACCGGGAGAAUAAGCUCCGGCUAACUCCGU